GACGAACGCUGGCGGCGUGCUUAACACAUGCAAGUCGAACGGAAAGGCCCUGCUUUUGUGGGGUGCUCGAGUGGCGAACGGGUGAUUAACACGUGAGUAACCUGCCCUUGACUUUGGGAUAACUUCAGGAAACUGGGGCUAAUACCGGAUAUGAGCUCCUGCUGCAUGGUGGGGGUUGGAAAGUUUCGGCGGUUGGGGAUGGACUCGCGGCUUAUCAGCUUGUUGGUGGGGUAGUGGCUUACCAAGGCUUUGACGGGUAGCCGGCCUGAGAGGGUGACCGGCCAAAAUGGGACUGAGAGACGGCGCAGACUCCUACGGGAGGCAGCAGGGGGGAAUAUUGCACAAUGGGCGGAAGCCUGAGGCAGCAACGCCGCGUGCGGGAUGACGGCCUUCGGGUUGUAAAACGAUUUCGCCUGUGACGAAGCGUGAGUGACGGUAAUGUGUAAAGAAGCACCGGCUAACUACGUG
rnacentral:rRNA from 1 species